UUUGGCCACAGUUACAUCUGCACAAUAACUUUUUUUUUCCCUUCUUAAAUAUGUUAUCACAGAGGCACUACCACCAUUUCUGAUUCGUUCAGCCUUGGCUAGCAGCAUAUCCAUCUUGGAGCUGGCUGGCAUCGGCUCUAUCAGACAUGGAGGAAGCUUCUAGCAGCUUCUCACAGAAGCCACCCCUGUAGCCCCAUCCUCUCUACCAAAACCUGGCCAUGCAAACCCAGUACAGUGACACUCUUUUAAUUUGUUUGUGGCCUAGUAGCUAUAGCUAGAUUCACAAAUGGAAGUGCAAAGAUCCUAUCUUCAGCAUUACAACACGCACUCCUGGAAGCAAGAUUGUCAUCCCUGAAUUAAAUAGUUGCACUUGCUACUUGUUUAAAAGAAACCACCAGUGCCUAGAAUGGUAAUCAGUGUGAGCUGGAGAAUUAGCAAAGCUGGCGCAUGUGAAGGUGAGGACAUAAGCAUUUGCCCUUUAGCUGAGAGGAUGAAGGUGUAUCUGAUUCUGCUUGGGAUUUACACCCUUGCAACCUCUUUAGGAACUGGGUCUUGUCAAACUCAAAGUAGGCAUUGGUCCAUUACAGGUAGCAAUUUAUGCUCCUUUAAUACAGAUAAACUGACACUGAGAGCAUCCACCUAUGGGUAACACCACCCAGGCUGUGUAAGGCUGGUUGUGGGAUAUCAUUUACCUACUUGCUUAAUUUCACUUGGAUAGUAUUCCAUCAUGUAAACAUGACUUUCAAACAAGGCCUCUACCUGAAGAGUCCAAGUUUUGUUUGGUCUUUGCUCCAGAGACCACUUUAAUCUGUUGUGAGUAAAUUACUUGUCUUUUAAAUGCUGAUGAUGGAACAUGGUCCCACAUAGUAAUUGUGGCUUGGCUAAAGUUUAACAGGCCAGGAUUCUAAACAUGCUGUUCAUAUCACUGUAGUUAAAUUCGUGUGGUAGUAUCAAGUUGAGGCAUGUGGGCCUAAAGUUGUUUAACUUGCUUAUGUCAAUUUAUAGAUGAAGUUGAACCAAUUCAGACUUAAAGCUUAAAGCAAGGUCUGAACUAUUCUGUCUGUAGAAGUCAUGUGUUUGGAGGCUAUAUUGCAUGUGAGUAAUUGCACGGACACCCUUCCUCUUUUUUCAUUCACUCCACCUACAAGAGCUUAACCUCCCUUUCUGUCUCUUCCCCUUCUUCCUCCUUUCUUCUGUUUUUCACCUUUCCAUUGCUGCUGAUUUCAGUGAUCAUCUCUCUGGCCUUCAAUUCGUACUUUGUAAUGACCUAGAUUUAGGAAGUAAUAGAUAUAGUUAUAGCUAUAG